rnacentral:rRNA from 1 species
UGAGACUCUGUGCGCGUGCAUAUCAAUAAGCGGAGGAAAAGAAACUAACAAGGAUUCCCUUAGUAACGGCGAGUGAAGCGGGAAGAGCUCAAAUUUGAAAUCUUCAAGGUUCUACCUUGACGAAUUGUAGUUUAAAGAAGUGUUUUCUGUUGGAGUUUUGGUAAAAGUUCUUUGGAAUAGGACAUCAUAGAGGGUGAGAAUCCCGUAUUUGACCAUUAUUUCCAGCUGUGUGAUACACUUUCAAAGAGUCGGAUUGUUUGGGAAUGCAGUCCAAAAUGGGUGGUAAAUUUCAUCUAAAGCUAAAUAUUGGCGAGAGACCGAUAGCGAACAAGUACCGUGAGGGAAAGACGAAAAGAACUUUGAAAAGAGAGUUAAACAGUACGUGAAAUUGUCAAAAGGGAAGCGUUUGACACCAGUGUUGUUUUCUCGAAAAUCAAUUAAAAAUGAUGGGAUUUUGUGUUGUAUUGACUUUAUCAGCUUUCUGCACUUUUUUCCUAUCUUUUUUAAUGCACCUUUCGUAUAACAAGUCAACAUCAAUUUCUUUUGCUGUAAAAGAGUCAUUGGAAGGUGGCUUUCUUUUCGGAGAAAGUGUUUAUAGCCUUUGACUUCUGCAGUCGGAGAGAUUGAGGUCUGCAGCGUAGAUCCUUCGGGGUUAGAUACAUUUGUGCUAAGCUAUAGUUCUUUAUAGACAACUUGUUGACUAUAAUCAAUCCUGUAACUUACUCGCUUAUGCUAUUUUACCUACGCUUAGGAUGUUGAACUCUAUCACACACAG